rnacentral:rRNA from 1 species
AUGCUGCCGGCUGGCGUCAAGUUCGAUCCCACGGAUCAGGAGCUGAUCGAGCACCUUGAGGCCAAAGUGAGUGCUGACAACGCGAGAUUUCAGUCUCUCAUCGAUUUGUUCAUACCAACCAUCGACAGCGAGCACGGCAUAUGCUACACCCAACCUGAAAAACUUCCAGGUAUCACACUGAGUGGCCUAAGGAAGCAUUUCUUCCAGCGCAAUUCCAGGGUGUUCAAAAGGGGCAUGUGGACGCGUCGCAAGAUACAGUCGGAGUGCGGCAUGCAUGCGAUGUGGCACAAGACCGGCAAUACCUUGCCGGUGAUGGUCAACGGCCGGCAGACGGGCAGCAAAAAAGGUUCUGGUGCUGCACACCGACAAGAACUUCGACCAGCAGAGGACCAACUGGGUGAUGCACCAGUACCAUCUCGGGGACCUGGAGCAAGAGAAGGAGUGGGAGUUGGUCCUCUGCAAGAUUUUCUACUAGACGAACACUAG